UACGUAGGGAGCAAGCGUUGUCCGGAAUCAUUGGGCGUAAAGCGCGCGUAGGUGGCCUCAUAAGUCCGCUGUGAAAGUCAAAGGCUCAACCUUUGAAAGCCGGUGGAUACUGUGAGGCUAGAGUACGGAAGAGGCGAGUGGAAUUCCCGGUGUAGAGGUGAAAUUCGUAGAUAUCGGGAGGAACACCGGUGGCGAAGGCGGCGACCUGGGUCGAUACUGACGCUGAGGUGCGAAAGCGUGGGGAGCAAACAGG
rnacentral:rRNA from 1 species